rnacentral:tRNA from 1 species
GCUCAGUUGGUUAAGCGUCUAACUUUGGCUCAGGUCAUAUCUUGCGGUUCGUGGGUUCAAGCCCCACAUUGAGCU